GACGAACGCUGGCGGCGUGCCUAAUACAUGCAAGUCGAACGCUGAAGGAGGAGCUUGCUCUUCUGGAUGAGUUGCGAACGGGUGAGUAACGCGUAGGUAACCUGCCUGGUAGCGGGGGAUAACUAUUGGAAACGAUAGCUAAUACCGCAUAACAGUAGAUGUUGCAUGACAUUUGCUUAAAAGGUGCAAUUGCAUCACUACCAGAUGGACCUGCGUUGUAUUAGCUAGUUGGUGGGGUAACGGCUCACCAAGGCGGCGAUGCAUAGCCGACCUGAGAGGGGGAUCAGCCACACUGGGAGUGAGACACGGCACAGACUCCUUCGGGAGGGAGCAGGAGGGAAACGUCGGCAAGGGACGGAAGUCUGACCGAGCAACGCCGCGGGAGGGAAGAAGGGUGUCGGAUCGUGAAGCUCGGUUGUAAGAGAAGAAAGAGCGUGAGAGUGGAAAGUUCACACUGUGACGGUAUCUUAUCAGAAAGGGACGGCUAACUACGUG
rnacentral:rRNA from 1 species